AAGGAUAGGGGGACACACGCCUCCUCUUAGAGUCUCCUUCGCCCAGUCCUGAGUCACUGGACUCCGGCCGCAGCGGGGUGAUCUCAGUCCACACGGAGGGGGAGCCCUGGUCCUCCGGGCCCCGUCCCUCUGAAGCUCCGGGACCGGGUUCCACGGGCAGAGUCCGCAUGGGGCGGAACCAGCUGCCUGGGCCCAUCUUGGGAGGGUACUGGGGGGCCACAGGCCAGCCAGCUCCAGGCGUCAGGACCUCUUGGCCUCGGUAGUAGGACACGGUGGGUCCAGGGGCGGAGGGCAGGAAUGCAGGCUUCAUGCUGACCGCUCGAAACUCGGCCUCAUAGCUGUGGUCCCGGGGGGGCCCCAGCCAGUAAGGCUGGGAAACCACAUCCUUGGCUUGCCCGGGAAGGUCGGAGUAGAAGCGACUGGGAACGGGAUACUGGUUGGGUAGGAGAGGAGAGUAGUGGUCUCCCCCAAGCAACUGACAGUUGGGUCCAGGCGGGGAGGGGACGCUGCUGUCAACAGAUGCAUACAUGCUAAAAAAAAAAAAAAAAAAAAAAAAGGAGGCAAGAAAAGCGGUCACAAACAGAACCACUGACCUGUAAGCCUGCCUACUGCACGUCCCUCCCUGGACCCUCUUGCCCUGCCGGCCCUCCAGCAUCCACCCCACCCCUGCCCACCCCCAGGGAAGGAGACGUGCUCAGCACCAGUCUGGAGCCGAGUCCCAGGAGGAACCAAGAGGAGGCCCUCUGCAAAGAUGUCCGUUGUGACCAAGGUAUUAGCACAAGCAAGGCUUCUCAAGGCUCUGUUCAACUUAGACUCCGCGUCCAUUUCCUGAGGCCGCGGGCACCAACCCUAUGUCCAGCAUGGCACACAAGUGAUGGCGGCCUCGGGUUUGAUGAAGAAACCCCCAGGGCCACCUUGGCCCAUGUCAUCCUGAAUGCAACCCCGUGUCUGCCCCUGAGACUCAGCUUCCUCCCACCUCAUCUUCCCCGCACGGUGCAUGGAAAAGAACCAGAGUCAGAGAGGAAGAAAAGGGACUUUCACAGAACAGAAUCAGCCAGGAGGGGUGUGGGGUGGCGAGGAAUCCCACCUGGGUCACAUUGUUAGAGGCCCCUUUGUUGUUCGUGAGCUUUAGUUUCCCGAACGAAACUUCCUGGCGCAUCCAAUGGGCUCCAGUAUUGGGGGAAUCUGGGUGGACGUACAGGCGGUUUCCUGUGGACAGUUAACCUCUUUGGCAUGCAGCCCCCGGGGGACCAGAGCCCUGGUGAGAUGGGGCUUCUUUGCCUGUUCGGAGGGGGAUGUCAAAAAGGCUGCAGGGGCAGGACUAGAUGGGUGAGGGCAAGGGGAGGUGGGCACAGAGGACUGAGCAGAAGACAGGCUAAGGCAGAAGAGAGAAGAGAGGACAAACAGAACGGGGUGAGAAGUGGGAGGGGACAAGGGUGGGAUGGGGAGUUAAGGCUUAGGUGUAGCGGGCAGUGGCUCGCGGGUUCCUCCUGGGUCCACCAGGGGGCGCUCAGUCUCGGCGAAAAAGAGCAUCCAGGGUUCUCCAGGGGGCUUCCUACCUGGCAUGUUGCCCUCAGCCUUGCCACACUGCACCCACUUGCCGCUCUGAUACCGCCAGUGGUGCUGGUCCACCAAGACCACGUCCACGAACAUCCGGUAAUGGCUGGUGGGCUCCAGCCCCGCCACAGUAAAUGACAAGAACGGGAACAUCCGCCUAGGGAGAACAGAAAGACCCACCAACAUCCAUCAGCCCCCCAACGUCGCAGACAGCCACCCCUGUGCCAAGGCUUUCAGCCAUGUGCUGGAGUCAGCUUCCACCCCUCAAGAGAGCCAAGCGGAAAUGCCAGCCAGUCGCUAAACAAUGCCAUAACUAAAACUGAAAUUAUAUCAACUUACAAUUAAAUACAUUAUCAGCCGAGGUGAUAAAUACGCAAAACUCAUCGCUUCUCAGUUCGUUUACUACAUGUUCCUGUUAUCUCUGCUCCUGAGGUUACUUUUUUUCUGUUUUCAAUUUUUUAAUGUUUAUUUAUUUUUGAGAGACAGAGAGCCGGCGGGGGAGGGGCAGAGAGAGCCGGCGACACAGAAUCCCAACGCACACUCCCGGGUUCCGAGCGGUCUGCGCAGAGCCCGACAUGGGGCUCGAACUCACCAGCCGUGAGAUCAUGACCUGAGCUGAAGCCAGACGCUUAGCUGACUGAACCACCCAGGCGCCCCAUCUUGAGGUUACUUACAUCUCUUGUUCCCACUUGGCGGAAAAUACUAGAUAACCGUGCUACGGCACGUCUCUUCCCAACUCUGCAUCCAGGGAUACCACAGGCGUAGCUUGAAAUCAGCCACCGUAGGGACAGUUACACCAUGGAAAUCAGCAAACAGUAUGAAUCAGGGCUUUUUCGCUGUUCUUCUUUCAGAGGGUCAGUUGAUGGACACGGUCUCGAAUCUUAGUUUGCUUCCUAGCCGGGAGCAAAGCCACAAGCCAGCCCCCCAGAGGCACUUCCCCAUAGGCCCUCAUGCCUCAGUCUCCCAAGCCCUCAUCCCGUCAGUCCCCGCCCCAUCCUCUCCACUGUGGUCCUCGCGGUGCCAUGAUGCUCCCAGCCCUGUGGCACCCAGGCUCCCCCUGCCCCCAGCCCCCUCCCGGGGCCAGAUGUCUGUGGAUGGCCUGCCCCAGGCCUCAGCCUUCAGAGAAGUAGCUAAAAUCCUAGGUGGAACUUCCCAGCCACCUGGAAGAGGACUCUGUUGAGCACAGUCCCCACUCUCAAAGGCCUGGCUCCCAGGAAAAGUGGAGGGAGUCGAGGUUGGGAUGCUGUAUUAUCCUCUAUUGCGCCAGAGCAAGAGAGCCGGAGAAGGAAGCACUUUCACACCACACCCAUCUUGCCACUUCCACCAUCACCGAUCCUGAUGGCUUGGCUUUUCUUUUCCAACCCAAGCAGGAAGAGCAGAUUUUGCAGGAUGGCAGAAUCUCACCCUCAUCAGAAUUACGUUUCAUUCCCACACCCCUCUCCCCUCCUCCUACAAGAAGUCAUGCAGGGUGGGAAGAAAGACACCAGUCCCUGAGUCAGGAGACCUGGGGGAGGGAGAGUGCCAGAGACCUAGGAACACUUUCGGGGGGCAUCCUAGUCCUUAGGCAUUCCCAGAACGACACCCUUAAGAACCUUGGGAAGGUCUCCCGACAUUCCUGUCUUCUCCGGGCUCUCCUAUGCUGAGGAAAAAAAAAAAAAAAAAAGAGGCUUACUGGCCCUAUGACCUUAGAUAAGUUAAUUCCCAAACCAAACCUCAGUUUCUUCACCUGUAAGUGGGGACAGUAACUCCUGUUCAUUUUUCCUCUGAGAGCUGUUAAGAAGUUUGAAAGAUGCGAAACUCAGCUCAUCCGGUCUCUCCUCCACCCCACCCUCUCCCAGGCCCCGAGCUAUCAAAGCCCUCAGGCCCUCAGGCCCUCAGGCUGAAGGACCCCAAGCAAGCGUCCAGAGUUCUGGAGCCCAGGGGCUCAGCAGGCCAGCUGACUUGAGAAAUCAAAGGUGACGGAUGAGGCCUUGAACAAUUAAGGUUGGGGUGAUAUUUUCAACUCGUCUCUACCACCGACUCCUUCUAUGACGCAGUCGGGUCGCACACAUUUUUUGUAUCAUAACCAGCUCCCCUUCAAACUUGUAGGAAUAAAGGGAGAGAAGGAACGUAUUCAUUGUGUCUCUACUUAGCAUCCUUUGAAAGGUAAUUUUAAAAAUUUCUGUUUUUUUAUUAGUUAUUUUUGAGAGAGGGAGAGCGUGAGCAGGGGAAGGGCAGAGAGAGAGGGAGGGACCCAGGGGAUCCGAAGCGAGCCCGACACAGACAGCCAAGAGCCCGAUGCAGGGCUCAAACUCACAAACCGUGAGAUCACGACCUGAGCCAAAGUUGGAUGCUUAAUCCACUGGGCCACCCAGGAGCCCCUGAAAUGUACAAUGUUACUUCCAAGUUUAUACUUGAAGCAGCCAAGGACUGGAGAGCCGUGUUGACGGAUCCUUGGUGGGAGAACAGUGUGGGGGGCUCCUGACUGCAGCAUACAUGCCCUGGGGGCCAUCUCUCUACCCUGCUUAGCUCUGGUAGAGGGAAAUGCAGGAGAAGCAGGAAGAGAAUGGGGGAAAGGGAGAAGAGAAGGGAGGUCUCAUUUCACCCUAAAAGUCUAGAAUCACCACCAGCUGGAAUCCCAAAAUAGCCCCUGAUUUACAUGACACUUUGCUGGGAAGGAACACGGUCUGAUGCCAAAGGAAGCCCUUCCAAAAGACCACUUACGGGGCGCCUGGGGGGGGUCUCAGUCGGUUAAGCGUCCGACUUCGGCUCAGGUCAAGAUCUCACGGUUCGUGGGUUCGAGCCCCACGUCAGGCUCUGUGCUGACAACUCAGAGCCUGGGGCCUGCUUCGCAUUCUGUGUCUCCCUCUCUCUCUGCCCCUGCCCCGCUCGCGCUCUGUCUCUCUCUCAAAAAUAAAGUAAACGUUAAAAAAAAAUAAAAAACCAAAAAGACCACUUACCAUCGUGCCCUCAGAGGACAGGGCCUGAGACUCUAAAUUCCUGAGCUAGGGCUCAGGACUAUCCCAUCUUGAAACGAUUCGCAGGGUCACCACACCCUCCACCCCAUCCUGAACGCCUCUGAUAUGUUCCAAUUCACCGUCAUUACGUACAGAUUAAAAGGAGGUGAUUUUUCGUCAGUCAUGUUGGCAAAGUGGUUCACAACUGAUAUCCAACGCUGCUGAGUCUGUGGGGAAAGGGGUCCUCUCACACACUACUGGUGCGGGUGUAGAUUAGUAUCACCUUUUAGGAGGAUAUCCCAGCACUACCUUGUACCUAUCGAAAUGCAAAAUGUGCUCAGGCAUCAAAGGAUCUCCCCUACCCCCCCCCCCAUCAACCUCAGAUCCAGCUUCAUGGAAAUUAGAUAGUCACUAGCAAACAGCCGAUGGAAAACAAAGCUGUUUUCACCUGCCCCAAGAGAAAUUAAGCCAGUGAGUCCAAAUUAAAGAGGCUUAGAAAAAAAAAAAAUUGUCUUAGGGGCACCUGAGUGGCUCAGUUGGUUAAGCAUUGGACUCUUGGUUUCAGCUCAGGUCAUGAUCUCACGGUUCGUGAGUUCGAACCCCGCGUCUGGCUCUAUGCCGACAGCUCAGAGCCUGGAGCCUGCUUCGGAUUCUGGGUCUCCCUCUCGCUCUGCCCCUCCCCUGCUCACGCUCUCUCUCUCUCUCUCUCUCUCUCUCUCUCUC